CCAACGGCCCUCUUUAGGGCCACAUAUGUGCACUAUACGAAUCGAAU
rfam:Heligmosomoides polygyrus genome assembly, scaffold: HPBE_scaffold0001086